GAUGAACGCUGGCGGCGCGCCUAACACAUGCAAGUCGAACGGUUAAAGCACCUUUUAGGUGUGUAUAAAGUGGCGAACGGCUGAGUAACACGUGGGCAACCUGCCCUCCUCUUGGGGAUAGCCUCGGGAAACCGAGGAUAAUACCCGAUACUUCAAUGUGGCCGCAUGACGACAUUGAGAAAGCUUUUGCGGAGAAGGAUGGGCCCGCGGCCUGUUAGCUUGUUGGUGGGGUAGAGGCCUACCAAGGCAAUGAUGGGUAGCUGGGUUGAGAGACCGACCAGCCAGAUUGGGACUGAGACACGGCCCAGACUCCUACGGGAGGCAGCAGUGGGGAAUCUUGCACAAUGGGCGAAAGCCUGAUGCAGCGACGCCGCGUGCGGGACGAAGGCCUUCGGGUUGUAAACCGCUUUCAGCAGGGACGAGGCGAAAGUGAC
rnacentral:rRNA from 2 species